rnacentral:rRNA from 1 species
AUUGAACGCUGGCGGCAGGCCUAACACAUGCAAGUCGAGCGAGUGGCGGACGGGUGAGUAAUGUCUGGGAAACUGCCUGAUGGAGGGGGAUAACUACGGGAAACGGUAGCUAAUACCGCAUACCAUCAGAUGUGCCCAGAUGGGAUUAGCUAGUAGGUGGGGUAACGGCUCACCUAGGCGACGAUGCAUAGCUGGUCUGCGAGGAUGACCAGCCACACUGGAACUGAGACACGGUCCAGACUCCUACGUGAUGCAGCAGUGGGGAAUAUUGCACAAUGGGCGCAAGCCUGAUGCAGCCAUGCCGCGUGUCUGAAGAAGGCCUUCGGGUUGUAAAGCACUUUCAGCGAGGAGGCAUUACCCGCAGAAUAAGCACCGGCUAACUCCGUGCCAGCAGCCGCGGUAAUUC